rnacentral:rRNA from 1 species
AUUGAACGCUGGCGGCAGGCCUAACACAUGCAAGUCGAACGAGUGGCGGACGGGUGAGUAAUGUCUGGGAAACUGCCUGAUGGAGGGGGAUAACUACUGGAAACGGUAGCUAAUACCGCAUACCAUCGGAUGUGCCUAGAUGGGAUUAGCUAGUAGGUGGGGUAAAGGAUCACCUAGGCGACGAUCCCUAGCUGGUCUGAGAGGAUGAACAGCCACACUGUAACUGCGACACGGUCCAGAAUCCUACGGGAGGCAGCAGUGGGGAAUAGUGCACAAUGGGCGCAAGCUUGAUGCAGCCAGGCCGCGUGUAUGAAGAAGGCAUUAGGGUUGUAAAGUACUUUCAGCGGGGAGGCGUUACCCGCAGAAGAAGCACCGGCUAACUCCGUGCCAGCAGCCGCGGUAAUAC